GUAGGGAAUAUUGGUCAAUGGGCGGGAGCCUGAACCAGCCAAGUCGCGUGAAGGAAGAAGGAUCUAUGGUUCGUAAACUUCUUUUGCAGGGGAAUAAAGUGCAGGACGUGUCCUGUUUUGUAUGUACCCUGAGAAUAAGGAUCGGCUAACUCCGUGCCAGCAGCCGCGGUAAUACGGAGGAUCCGAGCGUUAUCCGGAUUUAUUGGGUUUAAAGGGUGCGUAGGUGGUUUGAUAAGUCAGCGGUGAAAGUUUGCAGCUUAACUGUAAAAAUGCCGUUGAAACUGUCGGACUUGAGUGUAAAUGAGGUAGGCGGAAUGCGUGGUGUAGCGGUGAAAUGCAUAGAUAUCACGCAGAACUCCGAUUGCGAAGGCAGCUUACUAAGCUACAACUGACACUGAAGCACGAAAGCGUGGGGAUCAAACAGGAUUAGAAACCCGGGUAGUCC
rnacentral:rRNA from 1 species